rnacentral:rRNA from 1 species
GGAAUCUUCCACAAUGGACGCAAGUCUGAUGGAGCAACGCCGCGUGAGUGAAGAAGGCUUUCGGGUCGUAAAACUCUGUUAUUGAAGAAGAACGUGUGUGACAGUAACUGGUCAUGCAGUGACGGUAUUCAAUCAGAAAGUCACGGCUAACUACGUGCCAGCAGCCGCGGUAAUACGUAGGUGGCAAGCGUUGUCCGGAUUUAUUGGGCGUAAAGCGAGUGCAGGCGGUCUUUUAAGUCUGAUGUGAAAGCCUUCGGCUUAACCGAAGAAGGGCAUCG